AUCAUAAGCUCUCUUCUCACUAGAAUACUCAUUGUAAGUCAUGUACUCAAAUAUGAAUCAUAGGAUAGGAGGUUUUAUACGUAGGAACAAUGGUUCAUUUUCUAGCUUAGAAAUAUACGAGGUAUUACAUUCUAGAGUUAAUACGUGCAACAAACCCCGAAUUCUUGAAGGGAUGAAUUUAUUAGAUAAAAGUACAACGUGGGCUCUAUCCGUUGCUGCGAUAAUUCAUGAUAACUCGACGGAUCGCAUGACUAUUGUGCCGGUGAUGCAUCAUUUAAAUUUUUGCCCUAUCAACUUUCGAAGGUAGAAUAGUGGCCUACCAUGGUGAUAAUGGGUGACAAAAAUUUAGGGUUCGAUUUUGGAAAGAGAGCCUAAGAAACGGCUACCACAUCCAGGGAAGGCAGCAUACGUGUAAAUUAUCCAAUCCUGACAUGAGGAGGUAGUGAUAAUAAAUAACAAUACUGGGCUCAAUGAAUCUGGUAAUUGAAAUGAGUACAAUAUAAAUCCCUUAAGGAGGAUCCAUUGGAGGGAAAGUAUGGUGCUAGAAACCGCGGUAAUUCCAGCUUCAAUAGCAUAUAU
rfam:Capsicum annuum cultivar Zunla-1 chromosome 2, whole genome shotgun sequence